GAUGAACGCUGGCGGCGUGCCUAAUACAUGCAAGUCGAGCGAACAGACGAGGAGCUUGCUCCUCUGAUGUUAGCGGCGGACGGGUGAGUAACACGUGGAUAACCUACCUAUAAGACUGGGAUAACUUCGGGAAACCGGAGCUAAUACCGGAUAAUAUAUUGAACCGCAUGGUUCAAUAGUGAAAGACGGUUUUGCUGUCACUUAUAGAUGGAUCCGCGCCGCAUUAGCUAGUUGGUAAGGUAACGGCUUCCCAAGGCCACGAUGCGUAGCCGACCUGAGAGGGUGAUCGGCCACACUGGAACUGAGACACGGUCCAGACUCCUGCGGGAGGCAGCAGUAGGGAAUCUUCCGCAAUGGGCGAAAGCCUGACGGAGCAACGCCGCGUGAGUGAUGAAGGUCUUCGGAUCGUAAAACUCUGUUAUUAGGGAAGAACAAAUGUGUAAGUAACUAUGCACGUCUUGACGGUACCUAAUCAGAAAGCCACGGCUAACUACGUG
rnacentral:rRNA from 1 species